UACGUAGGGGGCGAGCGUUGUCCGGAGUUACUGGGCGUAAAGCGCACGCAGGCGGUCUGCUAAGUUUGGAGUGACAGUUGGUGGCUUAACUGCCAAAGUGCUUCGAAAACUGACAGACUUGAGGGCUUCAGAGGGACACGGAAUUCCGGGUGGAGUGGUGAAAUGCGUAGAGAUCCGGAGGAACACCAAAGGCGAAGGCAGUGUCCUGGGGAGUACCUGACGCCUCAGGUGACGGAAAGCCAGGGGAGCGAACGGG
rnacentral:rRNA from 1 species